GAUGAAGAACGUAGUGAAAUGCGAUACGUAAUGUGAAUUGCAGAAUUCAGUGAAUCAUCGAGUCUUUGAACGCACAUUGCGCCCCCUGGUAUUCCGGGGGGCAUGCCUGUUCGAGCGUCAUUACAACCCUCAAGCUCUGCUUGGUAUUGGGCCCCGCCAGUUCUGGCGGGCCCUAAAGUCAGUGGCGGUGCCUUCCGGCUCCGAGCGUAGUAAUUCUUCUCGCUCUGGAGACCCGGUUGUGUGCUUGCCAACAACCCCCAAUUUUUUAAGGUUGACCUCGGAUCAGGUAGGGAUACCCGCUGAACUUAAGCAUAUCAAUAAGCGGAGGA
rnacentral:misc_RNA from 1 species